rnacentral:lncRNA from 1 species
ACGGCCAGUGGAGGCGGUGGAGGCGGCUGUCUGCUGAGACGCAGGAGCCCUGGCCCACAGAACACCGAAGUGUACACAGAACCACAGAAAGCAGCAAACAGAAUCAGCGUUGAUAAAUAAAUAACUGGCUGGAAAACAGGUUUCAGGUAAACCCCACAGGACGGGAAAAAUUGGGGAGCCUGAGAGUCUCGCUCAGAAUGGACUAGGUUACACCGCUCUGAUGCCCACCCCUCCUUGGUCAUUAACAUUUAUUUCUCACUCACUCCACCUGUCUAUCGUGAGUUGAUGGACGCUUUCCUCCAGGUGGCCCUGAUUCAGGGACCCGGGCCGAUGAAGUCUCCUCUGCCUGGAAUGCCACUGGCCACCUUGAAGGAUGGCAUUUUGUGCUUGGGUCCCUGAAGGCUCCCGCCUGGUGGAUACCUCCCCUCACAUUUCAUGGGUCAAAGUGCCAGGACGGGGAAGAAUGGGGCCUGUUGGUGCCCAGUACUGAUGAACACUGAGAAUCUCAGCUUCUAGUCCUGGAUCCACUCUGCAGACCUGGACCAGUCAUUUUCCCUCUCUGAGCCUCAGUUUUCCCUGUCUGUAAAAAGCGAUGGGAGUUCCCAUUGUGAUUCAGCGGUUAACGAACCCAACUAACAUCCAUGAAGACGUGGGUUCGAUCCCUAGCCUCGCUCAGUGGGUUAAAGCAGCGAGCUGUGGUGUGGGUUAUAGACAUGGCUCGGAUCUGGCAUUGCUAUGGCUGUGGUGGAGGCGGGUGGCUACAGCUCUGAUUUGACCCCUAGCCUGGGAACUUUCAUAUGCCUCCGGUGCAGUUAAAAAGACAAAAAAAAAGGGGGGGGGGAUGUAAUGCUUUCCUUUAAUUGAGCAUUGAUGGAGCACUUUGUUUAGAUGGAGCAGGGGAGUCCAGGAAGCUGUGUUACUUCUUUUUUUUUUUUUUUUUUUUUUUUUUUUUUUUUGUCUUUUUGCUAUUUCUUGGGCCGCUCCCAUGGCAUAUGGAGGUUCCCAGGCUAGGGGUCCAAUUGGAGCUCUAGCUACCGGCCCACGCCACAGCCACAGCAAUGCAGGAUCCGAGCCGCAUCUGCAACCUACACCACAGCUCAUGGCAACGCCGGAUCGUUAACCCACUGAGCAAGGGCAGGGACCGAACCCGCAACCUUAUGGUUCCCAGUCGGAUUCGUUAACCACUGCGCUAUGAUGGGAACUCCUGUGUUACUUCUAAAGAUGACGGCGACGCACGCCCAAACGCGCAUGUGGCUGGACUGGCCGUGACCACAGGCUGGGCAGACUCCGAGGGUGCCGUACACAGGUCUGGAGAUGGGGACAUUCUAGCUGCCUGCAGCCCAGGUGGGCUUAAUAUAAUCAGGGGGGCCUUAGAGGGAGGAAGAGAGAGGUAGAGGGGUCAGAAAAGGAGAUGAGAUGAUGGAAACUGGGGUCAGAGUGAUGCAACUGCUGGUCCAAAGGCCAUGAGCAGGCACGGAACACAGGUGGCCUUUAGAGGCUGGAGAAGGUAAGGAACCAGAUUCUUCCCUAGGUCGUCCGGAGAGAAUACGCCCUGACAACACCUUGAAUUUAGCCCAGGGAAGCCCAAUUCAGACUCACAACCUCAAAAAUAAAUUUGUUUUGUUUUAAGCCAC